rnacentral:rRNA from 1 species
GAUGAACGCUGACAGAAUGCUUAACACAUGCAAGUCUUUGGCGAAGCUGUGCUUGCACAGCCUAGCCAAGGCGGACGGGUGAGUAACGCGUAAGGAACUUGCCCUGCAGUCAGGGAUAACAGACGGAAACGACUGAUAAGACCUGGUAAAGUCAGGCGGACUCAUGUCCAGCCUGAUGAAAAGAGAUGCUGCAGGAGAGCCUUGCGUCCUAUUAGCUUGUUGGUGGGGUAACGGCCCACCAAGGCGAUGAUAGGUAGCCGGCCUGAGAGGGUGGACGGCCACAAGGGGACUGAGAUGCGGCCCUUACGCCUACGGGAGGCAGCAGUGGGGAAUAUUGGACAAUGGGGGCAACCCUGAUCCAGCAAUUCUGUGUGCACGAUGAAGGUUUUCGGAUUGUAAAGUGCUUUCAGCAGGGAAGAAAAAAAUGACGGUACCUGCAGAAGAAGCGACGGCUAAAUACGUG